GUGAAUAGCCAUAUCACACUGCAGCCCAAGACCGGUUACUCACUAAAGCUAAGCAGGGCUGAGCCUGGUUAGUACCUGGAUGGGAGACCACUAGGGAACACUAGGUUGCUGUUGGAA
rnacentral:rRNA from 1 species